UACGUAGGGUGCAAGCGUUGUCCGGAAUUAUUGGGCGUAAAGGGCUCGUAGGCGGUCCAUCACGUCGGGAGUGAAAAGCUGGGGCUUAACCCCAGUCCUGCUUCCGAUACGGGUGGACUAGAGGUAGGCAGGGGAGAACGGAAUUCCUGGUGUAGCGGUGAAAUGCGCAGAUAUCAGGAGGAACACCGGUGGCGAAGGCGGUUCUCUGGGCCUUACCUGACGCUGAGGAGCGAAAGCCAGGGGAGCGAACGGG
rnacentral:rRNA from 1 species